rnacentral:lncRNA from 1 species
CUCUGUGACUGGCUUGCUUGAUGGUUAGGGUCUGAUCGCUGCCUGAGACACCAUAUCGGUACUCCUCAGAGUUGAUGCAGAGUGUUCAUAUGAGGAGAGACUUUCCCUUGUCUCCGUCAUCUGUGAUUUCACUUCCCUGACAGAAGACGAAGCUUCCAUCUCAGAUGUUUUCUUAAAUGAUGAAACAGCAUACGCCUCUGUUCUUGUCAGCUCAGGGAAAACAGAUCUGGGGACCUCUUCAUCUCUGCGUUGGGAAGCAUAGGUGGUAUAAUCCCCUCCUGUCACGUCCAACGUUGCAUAGUCAGAAGCUUCGCCCUUGUAGUUGGUGCACACAGCACGGUGAUCACAGGAUCUGGUUUGCCACUGAAAGGAAUCUUGAUGCUGACCACUUCACCUCGGAGAGCAUGAACUGCUCCCAUGCCUUCAAGAGUUUUAGGAUGGCAUCAACUGUUCCAAAAACAUUGCUGAGCUGGACUUUGUAUUUCCCAGCAUGAGUCUUACGUUGGACAUUCUUCAUGACAAGAUGAGUAUAGUGCUCAGUGUUUUCAAUAGUAAUGUUUUCUGAGUUUUGCAAAAGUUUCUGACCAUGGAACCAAGUCAUGGCAGGUACUGGACGACCAAUGUACAUAACAUGAAGCCGAAGUGUGGAACCCACAGCUCCAUAAUAUUUCUCUUUCAGUGGGUAACCAGGAUGGAACUGCGGUGUUGCUUGCAGGAGAAGCUUACUACUGGUUUCUACUUCUCCAACCUCAUUGGUGGCUAUGCAGGCACUGUCUCCAGACUGUCUAUAUUCAACC